rnacentral:rRNA from 1 species
UACGAGGGGGGCGAGCGUUGUUCGGAAUUAUUGGGCGUAAAGGGUGCGUAGGCGGUUUGGUAAGUCUGAUGUGAAAUCUAUGGGCUCAACUCAUAGUCUGCAUCGGAAACUGCCGGGCUUGAGUAUGGGAGAGGUGAGUGGAAUUCCUGGUGUAGCGGUGAAAUGCGUAGAUAUCAGGAGGAACACCGAUGCGAAGGCAGGUCUCUGGGC